rnacentral:rRNA from 1 species
UACAGAGGGUGCGAACGUUGCUCGGAAUUACUGGGCGUAAAGCGCGUGUAGGCGGAGCGCUAAGUCGGGCGUGAAAUCCCCAGGCUCAACCUGGGAACUGCGCUCGAAACUGGCGUUCUCGAGUAUCGGAGAGGGUGGCGGAAUUCCUGGUGUAGAGGUGAAAUUCGUAGAUAUCAGGAGGAACACCGGUGGCGAAGGCGGCCACCUGGACGAUUACUGACGCUGAGACGCGAAAGCGUGGGGAGCAAACAGG